rnacentral:ribozyme from 17 species
ACCUACAAAGAAACAAAGAAAGAAACAAACAAAAGAAACAAACAAAAAAGUGCAAUAAUCAAU